CCCGCGGUGGCCGGCGCGGGCCUCGGCGCUCAAGAGGGCGGGAGCGGCCCGGGGAAGCGCGGAGCCUCGGAGCGGCGGUGGACGGGAGCCGCAACGCCGCGACGAGGUGUCGGGGUGCCGGAGGGGACGGAGUCACCACCCCGGCGGUCGCUUCGUGGCUCUGCAGCCGCCGGGGCGGGAGCGAGAUCCGCGCUGCUCCCGCUCGCUGCAGCAGCGUGAGGGAGGCGCAGCCGGGAGCUAGUGCUCUGCCACCGAAAACAACAACAACAAAACCUUCUUGGCGAUUUUAUUUUUUUAAAGAUAGCAGUGGUUUUUUAAGGUAGCUGAGUUGGCAGAGUUGAGAUUUGUACCUGGUGCUGAUCAGAGUCUGUCGUGACUUCUGAUACUCACCCCACCCCACAGGCACCCAUCUGUACUUUCUGGAGAAGGCCCCUGGCACUACACCAGUACAGUAACAGAGACAUCCCAUAUACUUAACCGUUUGUCAAAGUCAACAUUUGCAAAAGUUGUUACACUUGAGUUUCACCAGUGUGAGCUUUGAAACCAAAUCAAGAUGGGAUCCCAAGUCACUGAGUCAUUCUGUGUCUUACUGACAAGGUCAUCAGACAUGGGCUCCUCCGGGAUUUUCACCUGGGUUUUUUUUCUACUGCAGAGGUGCUCCAACUGGAAGAGGUUGCUGCAUUGUCAGGAAUGACUUCCACCCUUGGAAAUUUUCAUAAGCAAAUUCACUGGUCAUGAGAAAAUUUCUAUUGGGGGGAUUUUCCUUUCUGAAUUCUGUCAUUAGUGUUUAAGUUCUGUCUUAAUAAGGGGAAAAUAUAUAUAUCAACAAUUUUUUAGUUUAAAAAUAAACAAACAAUAAUCUUAUUGUAGUUUUGUAGCUAGUGCCCAGCUAUGUCUGGAUUGUUUUUGCAUCCUACCAACUCCCUAGCAGAGCAAACUGGAAGACAGACAUCAGGUCUGGUUUCUGCUGGCAACAAGUUAGUUUGGUGGGAUUGAAAUGUUCUGUUUUAAUUCUGCUACCUUAGCUGCAGCUACAAAGUUGAUGAAGAAAUAAUGCCUUCUGGAAUUAAAGACUGGUUUUGACUAGACAGCAAAUCUUAAAGAUGAUCUUUUGUCUCCUUAUUCCCACAGGGUAACGCUGGUUAAACCUUCAAACGGAAAACUAAGAUUCCUCUCCACAAACAGGGUUCUCUGGGGCCAUCUUCUUUGAAGUGGUGCAAACCAUUGUAGAGGGGAAAUAAUGCCUGGGAUGCAUAAGCGGAGGAGCCGAAAUCACGUCUAGCCCUUACAUAAGCUUGUAUAUUGGCUUUAGGGUUGUUUUGUGCCAGCAGUGCUUCCAUGAGGAUGGAAAAAGUGGAGCAGAAAAUUGCUUUGCCCAAAGCCACACACUGGCAGUAAUUGAACUAGUGGACAGCGUUGGUUUAAAUAGAAAGUGUGCAAUGCAUUCAUACUACUCAGGCUAUUCUAACUGCUGUUUCUUUUUCUUGUCCACAUAUACCAUUUACUUUUCAACUGUAGUUGCACAGCAUUUCUGGUAUCAGAGUCUUGUAGAGAUUCCCAAAUUUUAAGUUGCUUUCAAGGAACCUCAGGAAAAUAAGAAGGAAUAGGAGAUACCAAAUUGAGUAAAUUCUUAAGAAAGAGUCUUAAAUUUUGGGUGCAGUUUUCCCAAGAAAGAGAUUAAGGAGGCACCUCUGAUUUCUGUUCUCAUCCAGCAAUUGUGACCCUGAUUUCUAAUAUGAAGAGGCUGGUGGAUCUCAUGGAGAGUCCAGCCUCGCUGUGCUGUGCGAUGCACUAAACAUAGCAAUAGUCAUUGUUUUGCUCAAUGUACAGACUUAAAUAGUGACACACUGAAAAAACUCAGUACCCAUUUAUUAGAUGAGAAUUGAGACCCAAAGAAGUUAAGAAAUAAAGCCAGUCACAUAGGGGUUUGGUGGCAGACCUCCGGUAAUGCCUGUGGAUUUCUGGAGCCUGCCCUAGCCUUCUGGCAUGCUGCCACCCCAGCUUCAGAAGAGAGAUGUAAUUUGUUUGAAGGAGACCAUAUAGCAAAGAGGAGAAUGUUAGAGACUAAAAGCAGAAAUAAUGAAAGCUUAAAAGAUUCAUACCUCCUUCCCCAAAGAAGCUGGUUUUAUAUCAGAGGUGAGAUUGAGGUUCACCAGACCAUACUUUUAAAUCCAAGUAGAUGCCUCAGACUGAUAGAUCUGAGCUUGUUCUCGAGGGGCUAAAGAUCAGCAGUUGCAUUGAGUCACAAUGAAGAAAUAAACUUUCAUGCAGCCUUUGUGGUAAAUGAGAUCAGGAAUCACAGCUGCACUAAAGGACCUAGUGAAAAACAACAGGAAGGCUGGCUAAUAUCCAGCAGCCCAUCAAGCGGGUACCAUCUCAACAUGGGGAAGUAAUGGUCUGCAGGACCUGCUAUGUGCAAAAUCUUGGUAUGGGCAAAAAGAAACCCACCCUAUCUGUAAAGUCACACAAAAUUUAUUCUUAGUGUAACUGCAACCUUAGCAGUCUAAUCAAAGAAGUAUUAUUAGUCCAGAUCUAAUUAUUGCAGAAAAGAAAGGAAAGAAAUUGUAUAGAAAGUCUCAAUAGUAACAGUAGAGUUAAAAUUGUUAUGCGCUCACUACCUGCCCCUUCUCCUGGUGUCAUGCUUACCCUUUCACCUCCCUCUAGCUCCUAAGACUGAUGGCUUUCAUCUGGUGAAGAGAGAAUGGUGGGUCAUCAGCAUCCAGAGCCCUGUGCCUGUAGGAGUAUGAUGUUGGUGCUUGCGGUUUCUUCUUUCUCUCCUUUUUUUCCCUCUUUUGGAAAUAGCUCUCACCUGGGACUAUUUUUACACGUUUUCUAUUAAAGUUUUACACUUUGCCUUUUCUU